GGGGGCGUUUUGGAUUCGACGGGGGUUGGAUAGGUGAGAGUUGCGAGUCCGGGCCCAUGCACCCGGUCAACAACGUGGAACGGCUAUAAAUGCCAACGAUAAUUACGCUCUCGCUGCUUAAUUAAAGCAGCGUGUCCGCUGGAUCCGAGCCUGUAGGAACCAGUCCGGGCAUCAAUUAAUCAGGCUACCGACCCCACGGUAGGCACUGCCAAAGGGGAAGGGAAUAACAACAGUGCUAGUGCAGUAGCAUCCUGUCUCAGGGAGGCCGCUGCAUGAAAUUAAAUCUGAGGCUACACUCGUAGACGCUUUCGCUAGUCUGCCUGCGGACAGGGGUUCGACUCCCCUCGCCUCCACCA
rnacentral:tmRNA from 1 species